rnacentral:lncRNA from 1 species
AUAUAUAUAUAUAGUCCGGCUAUGGUGCUUGUAAAAGCACAAACAUUUGGUACUUGUAAGUGUUUUACCAUUAGAUUUACGUUUUUGAUCAUUUUCAACUGUUAGAUUAUACUAUUCAACCAACUACCCACUCAAUCUUAGGGGGCCCACAUCAUCAUAACCGCACAUUCCUUAAUCUAAGGACCGAAAACUUACAAGUACCAAUAACUUAGUAUUUUUAAAAACAUAGGAGCUCAAUUCUAUUUAUAUAUUAGGCCCACUACAAAUAAUUAAUUCAUAUCUACAUAAAGGAAGGAUGUGAGAUAUGUAUUUAUUUAUUAAAACUUGUUAAAUAAAAAAAUAUAUAUACAAAUAUUAUUCUCUAUUAGUUUAAGUCUUUAGAAAAUAAUGAUUGUUUUUUAUUAUUUUAAUAUGAUAUCAGAGUAAAGGGGUCCUGAGUUCGAAUCAUGUCAGAUUUCUAAUAUAAUUAAUUUUUUUUCAUUUAAUUCAUAUCUACGUUAUGAAUCUAUUAAAAAGUUUCGAGCUCAGACAUGAAAAGUUGUGCCUAUCAGUUUAAGUUUUUGAAGAAUAAUGAUCGUUUCGCAUUAUUUAACAAAGCUCGUGUAAUCCAACAGCUUAAACAUUGUAUAGAUGUGAAUA